CGAGUCUUCUAAACGAAUCAGAAUUCAUUGAGCCGUUCUUCAUCCUUAAUCGGGUGAGAACAAAAAAGGUGCUUGCACCUUUGCUGUCGAGCGGCGGACGGGUGAGUAAUGCCUAGAUAUCUGCCUAGUCGUGGGGGAUAACAGUUGGAAACGACUGCUAAUACCGCAUACGCCCUACGGGGGAAAGGAGGGGACCUUCGGGCCUUUCGCGAUUAGAUGAGUCUAGGUGGGAUUAGCUAGUAGGUAAGGUAAUGGCUUACCUAGGCGACGAUCCCUAGCUGUUCUGAGAGGAUGAUCAGCCACACUGGGACUGAGACACGGCCCAGACUCCUACGGGAGGCAGCAGUGGGGAAUAUUGCACAAUGGGGGAAACCCUGAUGCAGCCAUGCCGCGUGUGUGAAGAAGGCCUUCGGGUUGUAAAGCACUUUCAGCGAGGAGGAAAGGGUAGUAGUUAAUAACUGCUAUCUGUGACGUUACUCGCAGAAGAAGCACCGGCUAACUUCGUGCCAGCAGCCGCGGUAAUACGAGGGGUGCAAGCGUUAAUCGGAAUUACUGGGCGUAAAGCGUACGCAGGCGGUUUGUUAAGCAAGAUGUGAAAGCCCCGGGCUCAACCUGGGAAUUGCAUUUUGAACUGGCAAACUAGAGUCUUGUAGAGGGGGGUAGAAUUUCAGGUGUAGCGGUGAAAUGCGUAGAGAUCUGAAGGAAUACCGGUGGCGAAGGCGGCCCCCUGGACAAAGACUGACGCUCAGGUACGAAAGCGUGGGGAGCAAACGGGAUUAGAUACCCCGGUAGUCCACGCCGUAAACGAUGUCUACUCGGAGUUUGGUAACUUAGUUACUGGGCUCCCAAGCUAACGCAUUAAGUAGACCGCCUGGGGAGUACGGCCGCAAGGUUAAAACUCAAAUGAAUUGACGGGGGCCCGCACAAGCGGUGGAGCAUGUGGUUUAAUUCGAUGCAACGCGAAGAACCUUACCUACUCUUGACAUCCAGAGAAUU
rnacentral:rRNA from 1 species